GGAGAGGUGGCUCUGUGGUUUAGAGCACUGACUGAUCUUCUAAAGGUCCUGAGUUCAAAUCCCAGCAACCACA
rnacentral:tRNA from 1 species